GGUUAAAAAGCUCGUAGUUGGAUUUCUGUUGAGAGCAGCACGUCCACCUCUUGGGUGAGUAUGUUGCUUGGUCUCGGCAUCUUCUUGAAAAACGUUUCUGCGCUUGAUUGCGUGGGGCGGAGUUCAAGACUUUUACUUUGAGGAAAUUAGAGUGUUCACGGCAGGCAAGCGCCUCGAAUACAUUAGCAUGGAAUAAUAAUAUAGGAUCUUGGUUCUAUUUGUUGGUUUCUAGGGCUAAGGUAAUGAUUAAUAGGGAUAAUUGGGGGCAUUUGUAUUAACGCGUCAGAGGUGGAAUUCUUGGAUUGCGUUACGACAAACUACUGCGAAAGCAUUUGCCAAGGUUGUUUUCAUUGAUCAAGAACGAAAGUAUGGGGAUCGAAGAUGAUUAGAUACCGUCGUAGUCUAUACCAUAAACUAUGCCGACUAGGGAUUGGAGGUCGUUCUUUUUAUGACUCCUUCAGCACCUUAUGAGAAAUCAAAGUCUUUGGGUUCCGGGGGGAGUAUAGUCGCAAGGCUGAAACUUAAAGGAAUUGACGGAAGGGCACCACCAGGAGUGGAGCCUGCGGCUUAAUUUGACUCAACACGGGGAAACUCGCCAGGUCCAGACAUAGUAAGGAUUGACAGAUUGAUAGCUCUUUCUUGAUUCUAUGGGU
rnacentral:rRNA from 1 species